GGCGGAUGUACCCAAGUGGAUCAAGGCAGC
rnacentral:tRNA from 1 species